UGUGUAGGAUAGGUGGGAGGCUUUGAAGUGUGGACGCCAGUCUGCAUGGAGCCGACCUUGAAAUACCACCCUUUAAUGUUUGAUGUUCUAACGUUGACCCGUAAUCCGGGUUGCGGACAGUGUCUGGUGGGUAGUUUGACUGGGGCGGUCUCCUCCUAAAGAGUAACGGAGGAGCACGAAGGUUGGCUAAUCCUGGUCGGACAUCAGGAGGUUAGUGCAAUGGCAUAAGCCAGCUUGACUGCGAGCGUGACGGCGCGAGCAGGUGCGAAAGCAGGUCAUAGUGAUCCGGUGGUUCUGAAUGGAAGGGCCAUCGCUCAACGGAUAAAAGGUACUCCGGGGAUAACAGGCUGAUACCGCCCAAGAGUUCAUAUCGACGGCGGUGUUUGGCACCUCGAUGUCGGCUCAUCACAUCCUGGGGCUGAAGUAGGUCCCAAGGGUAUGGCUGUUCGCCAUUUAAAGUGGUACGCGAGCUGGGUUUAGAACGUCGUGAGACAGUUCGGUCCCUAUCUGCCGUGGGCGCUGGAGAACUGAGGGGGGCUGCUCCUAGUACGAGAGGACCGGAGUGGACGCAUCACUGGUGUUCGGGUUGUCAUGCCAAUGGCACUGCCCGGUAGCUAAAUGCGGAAGAGAUAAGUGCUGAAAGCAUCUAAGCACGAAACUUGCCCCGAGAUGAGUUCUCCCUGACUCCUUGAGAGUCCUGAAGGAACGUUGAAGACGACGACGUUGAUAGGCCGGGUGUGUAAGCGCAGCGAUGCGUUGAGCUAACCGGUACUAAUGAACCGUGAGGCUUAACCUUACAACGCCGAAG
rnacentral:rRNA from 1 species